GGCUAAUAUAUCAAAAAAGUUGCUUUUUUGAUUUUUGUGAGUUAAAACUAAAAAAAAAAAAUCCGAGAUAGCAGUUUUGUAGCCCUGUCAAUUCUACACCUUUGAUAUUUGAUCAUUUUUCUGUAUCUUUAAAGCCCGUAGGCCUGACAGCUCUUCUCGCGAAGGUCUUUUUUCGGUCGAAAAUGGCAGAACAUGACGUCAUUCUGACGUCAUUUGUGGCCAACCUAUCACAGCCUCUGGAAAUUUUUUGGUCACAAUGUGUAAAAUUGAUGCCCCCUGUAAUUGCCUGUGAAAAGUGGAACAUCAUUCUGUAGUCGACUUUACACUAUUAGUAAAGUAAUCUUCAGCAUACACGCCUCGCAAAAAAAAACGCAAAUGUAAUCACUAUUACAAAUGAGCCAAAUCAUCAAACGCAAAUGAGUAGCAAAUAAUUGAGCAAAGUCAAGAGCAUUAAAAUAAGCGCACCGAAAGCACAUUUUCUUGGUAAUUAAUUUAGAAAUUAUUUUGUUUUCAUUUAUUGCAUUCAAUUUGGAAGGAUAAGCCAUUUUUGAAUUAUUUGAGCACCUUCUUAGUAUUUGUUGAUGUUUUGUUUUAAGAAGGCUUUAUUUUAAUUUAUAUUUCCGCUUUAUGUGCUUCACUUUCAUUUUCCCGCUUAAAAUUCAGUUGCCAUGGCAAUUAUCGUCUGCUUGCAGCACGUGCAGAUGUAUUGUUGUCGGUCAUUCGCGGUCUGCUUGUCGUCGUGUGCGUGUGUCUCGUAAUUUAAGUUUUGAUUUUGGUGGUAAAUCCCUCUUUCGAUUUAAGCAUGAUGUCCGUCAAAGGUAUUGCAGCUGCACUGCUCGUGCUUGCAUUGGUUUCGUACCAGGUGUACGCUCAAGAAGCGGCGGAGACUACCCCUGCCGCUGAUGGUGCAGCUGCUGCUGGUGGAGAUGCGGCCACUGCGACUGAGGCCGCCGCCGGCGGUGACGCUGGUGGUGACGCUGGCGGUGAUGCUGGUGGUGACGAUGCUGGGGCGGCUGGAACGACAGCAGCUGCAGCGGAUGGAGAAGGGGGCACUGAAGCCCCGGCCGCUGCCGAAGGAGACGUUACAACUGCUGCAAGUGGUGCCGGCGAAUUGCAAGCCUUGACCAAGUUUGUAGCUGUCAUGGUGGCUGUGUCUCUGGGCCUUCUGGCAAAGAAUGAUUAGCUGGUGGUAACUACGAGAACACCACGAAAAUGCAGUUUUGCACAACUCGGGUAUCCGGGAAAUCUGGAAGUGGCCAUAGGGCGAGGUUAACCAAAGGCAUCGCUUCGAGCGAUUCGCUGAAGGUGAUCGAACGGCGAGAUGCAACAUUAGAGUCGACCACGCAUAGGUCGUCUGGAGGGUGGCAUGAAUUAUGUAGUAAUGACAGCUUGCUUCGAUGGACGCACAGACGUGCGGAUUUUGAGUGAUACCUACUUCGAUUAGUUUAGCACAUGACAACAAUAAAGCAAUGUGAUUAGA